rfam:Ovis aries breed Texel chromosome 4, whole genome shotgun sequence.
UCUUUGAUGGUCCACUGGCGAAGACUCUGCACUCCCAAUGCAGGGGACCUGGGUUCAAUCCCUUGUUAGGGAA